rnacentral:rRNA from 1 species
AUGAGUCAAACUACCAAGGAUCUUCGCAUUUGGAGUAGAAGUUUGAUCGGGGACACAAAGCUCCAUUUCCACAUUGCAUGCGAAGUAAUCUUGCGCCUCGAUGUGGCCCAGGAGCGAUGGCGACUCACGACUGCCGAGGCAGAGCUAAGGAAAGGUCGGAAGACCAAGCUUCUGGGCCUAGCAGCGAUUGAGCGCUGCAAGAAAAGGCAAGCCUCCCGCCUCACCUGGCUGCGCACGGGUGACGCCCCCACCAAGUUCUUCAUGGCCAAUAUCAACUCGAGAAGGCGCAAGAACUUCAUCCACGCUCUGAAGGUCGGUGAAAAUGUGAUGACGGCGCACGCAAAAAAGGAGAAAGCCAUCCACGAUCACUUUAGCAGCAUUUUGGGCACUCCCCAACAUCGACACACGUCGAUCAACUCGACCCAACUCCAAAUGCCAUCGGUGCAGGGAAGUGGACUGGACAACCCAUUUACAGAAGAGGAGGUC